CAGAAGAUUGUCCUAUGAAACAGAGAGGGUAACUGAAACUAAAGAAAGGACCCCACGUCUAACGAAAGGUGGGAGAGAAGGAGCAGAAGUCUCAAUGAACGAACAGGCCUCUGCUUUGGGCCCGGAAGGAAAAGAAAUUUGCCGGAGACGAGUCUCAGACUCUUCCUUGAUUAUGAGCAAGAGGUUCCUGGAUCUAGGAGAUACAGGCCUUCAUUUCAGGCCUGUAGCCUCCUGUUUGCAAGACGGCUGCUGUAUACUUGUGCUUUAUAUCUACAUCCCAGGCAGGAAUAAUGGGAAAGAAUGAAGGGCCACGGAUCUUCUCCUGGGCAGCCAGCAGCAGGGGCUCCUGGGGGUCGUACCUGGUGCUGGAGAGGCCUGGCUUCUACCGACCCCAGCACCCAGACGGUGGACAGACCGAGGCCCAGAGGCGGCGGAGCCCUGCUUCCUCCCCACAGACGGUUGUGGUACUUCAUUUGGAAAUGACAGAUCAUGAACUGGGAGCCAUGUGGAAAGAAGACUAGCUUGGAACUCGGUCAGGAUUACAUCCUGGGUUUCUUCCAGAUUACCCUCCAGCCAGCCAUCUGGUCUCAAGGGCAAUACAAAGCUUUCUCAUGGCUUCCUUGCAGUUUUCCAGUGCCUUUGAUUUUGGAAAUGCUACCAGCAUGAUGACUGCAUUUUCAGUGGUGGACAUUGUUAUAUGCCUCAGAAGCAAGGACUUACAAGAAUAUCCCUACUUCCCAGUGGUACUCAGAAGGCAUUGCCCAAGUGCAAGAAGAGAAAUAGACUCCAUCUUUUUAGGGGAAAGUAACAAGUUCCGCAGGUAUGCGUGGGAAUGGAAAUAUGAACAUGGCCAUUUUGGGAAAAUACAACCUGGCACCGUGAGUCCUCUUCUUUGCGAUGUCAUCUGCACCACACAUCUGCAGAGCAAAGAGGGAAAAUGGGUCAGAUCCUCUCAGCUGCCCAG